AGGUUAUUGUGUGGGCAGUUUCUCAACAAGCCUUUGUAUCUAUCCCACGCCUCAUAGAGUGACUCGCCUGGUUGUUGCUCAAAAUUGGCUAUGACUUUCUUCAACUU